rnacentral:rRNA from 1 species
GACGAACGCUGGCGGCGUGCUUAACACAUGCAAGUCGAACGGAAAGACCCUGCUUUUGUGGGGUGCUCGAGUGGCGAACGGGUGAGUAACACGUUAGUAACCUGCCCUUGACUUUGGGAUAACUUCAGGAAACUGGGGCUAAUACCGGAUAGGAGCUCCUGUUGCAUGGUGUGGGUUGGAAAGUUUCGGCGGUUGGGGAUGGACUCGCGGCUUAUCAGCUUGUUGGUGGGGUAGUGGCUUACCAAGGCUUUGACGGGUAGCCGGCCUGGGAGGGUGACCGGCCACAUUGGGACUGAGAUACGGCCCAGACUCCUACGGGAGGCAGCAGUGGGGAAUAUUGCACAAUGGGCGGAAGCCUGAUGCAGCAACGCCGCGUGCGGGAUGACGGCCUUCGGGUUGUAAACCGCUUUCGCCUGUGACGAAGCGUGAGUGACGGUAAUGGGUAAAGAAGCACCGGCUAACUACGUG